GCCCAGAGGAAUAGGACCUGGGAGACUCUGUCUCAAAAAAAAAAAAAAAAAAAAAAAAGUAUUUAGUGAGUAUGUGGGCAGGAGCCUUUAAAGGCCCAGUAACUUGGUCCAGGGAGGUGAUGUUUGAGUUGGGUCUUGAAGGAUGGGUAGGAGUUUGCCAGCCAGGCAAAGCUAGUAGUAGCAGAGCCAAAAUUUAAACCUGAACAGUCUGGCUCCAGACUCUGUGUUCUUUCCUGCAGCAUGCUUGGCCCUGCUGCCCUACAAGGCCUAGCCUUGGGAGGUGAGACUCUGGGUCCUGGGUCACUCCACGUGAGCCCUAGACCAUUUUCCCAUCCAAUUCCUGCUUUUGCUCUUCACAAACUCCCACUCUCUCCCCCUUCUGCAAAGGUGGUUGGGAGUUGACUAGCCUUGUAGGCAGUCUGUGUCUCUCUAAGUGACUAGGAUUUGUGGUGUGCUGAGAAGGGUACACAGAUUCUACCCUCAGUUCUCCUGUGGCAGGUAGGAGGCACAGACAGACAGAGAAGCAUUUCCUGGUUUGUUUUUCCACUGUUUGCCCCGAGCACAUGAACUGUGCUUUGCAUAAGGCACCUCCUCAGAUCAUUGCAACAACCCUGGCAGGUAGAGGUAAUUUACUGCCGUUUUAAGCAUGAGAAAGGUGACUCACAGAGGUUGAGCCAUGUGUCCAAGGUCACACAGCUAAGCCAGUAAGUAGAGGGACUGGAAUUUGCACCUCAAUCUAACUGCAAGGCCUGUACUCGUGUUUUUAAGCCAUCAGGAAGAAUACCAGGUUAUGAAGGCCACGCCCCUUUCUGUGCUUCUCAACGGACAUGUGCAUGAGAAUCAUCAGGAAUGCUGGUUACAAAU
rnacentral:lncRNA from 10 species